rnacentral:rRNA from 1 species
GAUGAACGCUGGCGGUCUGCUUAACACAUGCAAGUCGAACGGAAUCCUUCGGGAUUUAGUGGCGGACGGGUGAGUAACGCGUGAGAAUCUGCCUUCAGGUUCGGGACAACAGCUGGAAACGGCUGCUAAUACCGGAUGCGCCGAGAGGUGAAAGCUUUAGUGCCUGAAGAUGAGCUCGCGUCUGAUUAGCUAGUAGGAGUGGUAAUGGCACCCCUAGGCGACGAUCAGUAGCUGGUCUGAGAGGAUGAUCAGCCACACUGGGACUGAGACACGGCCCAGACUCCUACGGGAGGCAGCAGUGGGGAAUUUUCCGCAGUGGGCGCAAGCCUGACGGAGCAAGACCGCGUGAGGGAAGAAGGUCUGUGGAUUGUAAACCUCUUUUGAUGGGGAAGAAGACAGUGACGGUACCCAUCGAAUCAGCCUCGGCUAACUCCGUGCCAGCAGCCGCGGUAA